AUGUGUCCUAAAGCUGCAACCUGUGGCGACCCUGCAACAACCGGAGACCGGGCUAUGGCGUGUGCCUGUGCUGCGACGACAGCAACAAUGCGUGCGGCCGGGGCAGGCGGCGAUGAUGCGACUGUAGAGAAGAAAGAGGAAGGAAACGCAUUUUCAAAAAAAAAAUGGAUCAAGAAGAAAGAGCGCAACCCGCCCCGCCUCCUCGGCGUCUGCGUCGGCUACCCCGGCAGGUAUCGUUUCGUGCCUCUCCCGCGGCAGCCUCCGGAGCUCGCCAUCCCCAUACGCCGCGCGACCUCCUCCUGCGACGCCGCCUUCGCUCGCAGAUGCCCGCGAAUCAAGAACUGCCGGAAUGGUCGCCUCAUCAUCGAGGUCUUCCACGCCGGCAGAUUCGAUCACCCCCUCGUGGUGUCGCUUCUCGCCGGUGAGUCUUCAACCGUCCUCCCACAGAUCCGGCCCCACCGUGACCGCUGGGUGCAGGGCACUCAAACGGGAUUCACUGAGAUGUUCCUACCCGAGGAUGGGGGCCGCGACGGCAUCACCUUGGUGAAUCUGUGGAAGGACUGGCCAAAAGUGUAUGCGGAGGUGUGCGUCCUUGGAUCUGGCAGCUCUGGCCUCCCUGCCAGGGGCUCGGCAGAGAUAGAGCUCCCUGAUGACAUCGUCUUCCAUGAAAUGCUACCACCCAUCCAUGGCAAAGUCUUCAUGGUGACCAACUUAGGGUACACCUUGGGUCUAGAUUUAGCCACCAGGAUCCUUUUCACCCUGGAGCUACCAGUUGGAUUGCGGGGCAACUAUAUGCUCUCAUGUGCGGAAGAUUCCGGUCUCUAUCUCGUCAGUGCAGACGGGUUUCAGCUCAGUGUGUGGCUCCAUCGGAUGUCGGGCAAUGAUGGCGCAGGCUGGCUGCUGGUCGACACAUUUUGUGUCAGUGUGGGUCAGGCAUGCACACCUCGCGCGGAGGACAGUUGGGUUCCUCACGAUGUUUGCCUUGAUGUUGUCACGGUCGGGGACAAUGCUGACUUUCUGUUCUUAGAUCACCCAGCAAGUGGUGCUCUCUUUUAUGUUCAUCUGAGGAGCAGGGUGGUUGAGAAGGUCUAUCAGAGGGGGGCAGAUGAAUGUGGGUAUAAACGUGCGACUGCUGGCCACGUACGUGUCUCUCCUGUUAUGAUGAUCUGGCCGCCUAUCUUCCCAGCGCGGAAUGUGUUUGAUUGUUGUACUAUCUAA
rnacentral:rRNA from 1 species